rnacentral:rRNA from 1 species
ACCCACAGCCAUAUCACCCUGCAGCCCAAGACCGGUUACUCACUGAAGUUAAGCAGGGCUGAGCCUGGUCAGUACAUGGAGACCACAUGGGGAAACUAGAUUUCUGUUGGUA